AAGAGACGUUGCCCUUCGGGGUAUACCUCCCACCCUUUGUUUAUUAUACCUUUGUUGCUUUGGCGGGCCCGUCCUCGGACCACCGCUUCUGCUGGUCAGUGCCCGCCAGAGGACCUAAAACUCUGUUUGUUAAUAUUGUCUGAGUACUAUAUAAUAGUUA
rnacentral:misc_RNA from 1 species